UCUAAGGGCUGUGAAGCCAGACCGGAAGGACUGGUGGAGCGCUUAGAAGUGAGAAUGCCGGUAUGAGUAGCGAAAGAGGGGUGAGAAUCCCCUCCACCGAAUGCCUAAGGUUUCCUGAGGAAGGCUCGUCCGCUCAGGGUUAGUCGGGACCUAAGCCGAGGCCGAAAGGCGUAGGCGAUGGACAACAGGUUGAUAUUCCUGUACCACCUCCUCACCAUUUGAGCAAUGGGGGGACGCAGGAGGAUAGGGUAAGCGCGGUAUUGGAUAUCCGCGUCCAAGCAGUUAGGCUGGGAAAUAGGCAAAUCCGUUUCCCAUAAGGCUGAGCUGUGAUGGCGAGCGAAAUACAGUAGCGAAGUUCCUGAUUCCACACUGCCAAGAAAAGCCUCUAGCGAGGUGAGAGGUGCCCGUACCGCAAACCGACACAGGUAGGCGAGGAGAGAAUCCUAAGGUGAUCGAGAGAACUCUCGUUAAGGAACUCGGCAAAAUGACCCCGUAACUUCGGGAGAAGGGGUGCUCUGUUAGGGUGCAAGCCCGAGAGAGCCGCAGUGAAUAGGCCCAGGCGACUGUUUAGCAAAAACACAGGUCUCUGCGAAGCCGUAAGGCGAAGUAUAGGGGCUGACGCCUGCCCGGUGCUGGAAGGAUAAGAGGAGCGCUUAGCGUAAGCGAAGGUGCGAAUUGAAGCCCCAGUAAACGGCGGCCGUAACGAUAACGGUCCUAAGGUAGCGAAAUUCCUUGUCGGGUAAGUUCCGACCCGCACGAAAGGCGCAACGAUCUGGGCACUGUCUCAACGAGAGACUCGGUGAAAUUAUAGUACCUGUGAAGAUGCAGGUUACCCGCGACAGGACGGAAAGACCCCGUGGAGCUUUACUGCAGCCUGAUAUCGAAUGUUGGUACAGCUUGUACAGGAUAGGUAGGAGCCUUGGAAACCGGAGCGCCAGCUUCGGUGGAGGCAUCGGUGGGAUACUACCCUGGCUGUAUUGACCUUCUAACCCGCCGCCCUUAUCGGGCGGGGAGACAGUGUCAGGUGGGCAGUUUGACUGGGGCGGUCGCCUCCUAAAAGGUAACGGAGGCGCCCAAAGGUUCCCUCAGAAUGGUUGGAAAUCAUUCGCAGAGUGUAAAGGCACAAGGGAGCUUGACUGCGAGACCUACAAGUCGAGCAGGGACGAAAGUCGGGCUUAGUGAUCCGGUGGUUCCGCAUGGAAGGGCCAUCGCUCAACGGAUAAAAGCUACCCCGGGGAUAACAGGCUUAUCUCCCCCAAGAGUCCACAUCGACGGGGAGGUUUGGCACCUCGAUGUCGGCUCAUCGCAUCCUGGGGCUGUAGUCGGUCCCAAGGGUUGGGCUGUUCGCCCAUUAAAGCGGUACGCGAGCUGGGUUCAGAACGUCGUGAGACAGUUCGGUCCCUAUCCGUCGCGGGCGCAGGAAAUUUGAGAGGAGCUGUCCUUAGUACGAGAGGACCGGGAUGGACGCACCGCUGGUGUACCAGUUGUUCUGCCAAGGGCAUCGCUGGGUAGCUAUGUGCGGACGGGAUAAGUGCUGAAAGCAUCUAAGCAUGAAGCCCCCCUCAAGAUGAGAUUUCCCAUUCCGCAAGGAAGUAAGAUCCCUGAAAGAUGAUCAGGUUGAUAGGUCUGAGGUGGAAGUGUGGCGACACAUGGAGCUGACAGAUACUAAUCGAUCGAGGGCUUAACC
rnacentral:rRNA from 1 species